ACCCCUGUGAGGGGAGUGAAAUAGAACCUGAAACCGUGUACGUACAAGCAGUAGGAGCACCUUCGUGGUGUGACUGCGUACCUUUUGUAUAAUGGGUCAGCGACUUAUAUUCAGUGGCAAGGUUAACCGUAUAGGGGAGCCGUAGCGAAAGCGAGUCUUAACUGGGCGCUCAGUCUCUGGAUAUAGACCCGAAACCGGGUGAUCUAGCCAUGGGCAGGUUGAAGGUUGAGUAACAUCAACUGGAGGACCGAACCGACUAAUGUUGAAAAAUUAGCGGAUGACUUGUGGCUAGGGGUGAAAGGCCAAUCAAACUCGGAGAUAGCUGGUUCUCCCCGAAAGCUAUUUAGGUAGCGCCUCGGACGAAUACUACUGGGGGUAGAGCACUGUUAAGGCUAGGGGGUCAUCCCGACUUACCAACCCUUUGCAAACUCCGAAUAC
rnacentral:rRNA from 1 species